rnacentral:rRNA from 1 species
UACGUAGGGGGCAAGCGUUGUCCGGAAUCAUUGGGCGUAAAGAGCGUGUAGGCGGCUCGAUAAGUCUGCUGUGAAAGUCCAGGGCUCAACCCAGAGCCUGCAUCCAAAACUGGCAGGCUAGAGUUCUGGAGGGGGUAGCGGAAUUCCUGGUGUAGCGGUGAAAUGCGUAGAUAUCAGGAGGAACACCGGUGGCGAAGGCGGCUACCUGGACAGAAACUGACGCUGAGGCACGAAAGCUAGGGGAGCAAACAGG